CUUGACAAGUAGUCGCACAUUUUGCUUUGUACCAUGUGACAAAUGACACUCGGCAAGUUUCAAGCCACACGAUAUUCAAUUAUUGAUGCUAGGUUUAUUGAAUUACUAAAUCUAGUAAUUAUGAAUUUACAAUUAUUUAAAUUUAAAUAAUUUUAACUUUAAAUUAUAAGUAGAUUAUAAUCAAAUCCAAACAAGUACUUACUAAUAUCUCGGUUCGGGACAGUGGUACGCGAUCUGAUGAGCUAUGGGCCUAUAUCAUAUGUCAUAUAAUCACCUGUAUAUUUCCAAUAGAAAAACCUUUAUGCCUUAUCAUGAUGAACACCACCACCACACACUCAAGUGCUCCGCGUCCUUCCCCGGCCGGGCAGGCCCCGAGCUCCGACAUCUCCGUCCGCACGGCCCUCCUCUGCCUUGUAGCAGUGAUAACCACACCAUUAAUUAUCUACACAUUCUUUUUUGCUAUGAGAUUUCCUCGGAAUCCUUUCCGGCGAUCUAGCCGCCGCUCCGGAAUACCGGACGGAGAAGUGAGCUGUAACGGUAAAGAAUUCGAACUGGUUUGUGGCGUUAGGAAAGAGGCGCGUGCAAAAGAAACCGCCGGAAGCGAGUGCCCUGUGUGUCUAUCGGUUUUUGUUGAGGGAGAAGGGAUUAGGCAGUUGAAUGCGUGUAAACACGUUUUUCAUGUUGAGUGUAUUGAUAAGUGGCUCUAUUCGCAUUCGAAUUGCCCGGUAUGUCGUGUUUCUGUUUCGGUAAAGCGCUGUAAACGGGCUUCAAAUAUUGGCGGAGAUGAAGAUUUCCGGCAAGGUUUGCCGGAUGCGGCUAACCUGGUUUAAUUUCCGGCGAGGGAAUUAUAAGUACCAUUUUACCGUUCUUUAUUUUCAAAAUCAAUUUUAUUUUAGAUGAUUGUUGGCACCCCAUUUUUUACUCGUUGCACGUAAGGCUGAUUCAAAUCGUUCGAACUGAUUAACCCAACUUUGAAGGCGGAUUGGAUUGGAUCUCGCGAUAUGAAUUAAAACUCAAUCCAAUCUAAUGAAUAAAAAAUCUAAUAUAUAAAAUCGAAAAAUUUA
rnacentral:lncRNA from 1 species